rnacentral:rRNA from 1 species
UACAGAGGGUGCAAGCGUUGUUCGGAAUUAUUGGGCGUAAAGCGCUUUAAGGCGGUUCGGUAAGUCGGGUGUGAAACCUCCAGGCUCAACCUGGAGACGCCACUCGAUACUGCUGUGACUAGAGUUCGGUAGGGGAUCACGGAAUUCCUGGUGUAGCGGUGAAAUGCGCAGAUAUCAGGAGGAACGCCGGUGGCGAAGGCGGUGAUCUGGGCCGACACUGACGCUGUAGAGCGAAAGCGUGGGGAGCGAACAGG